rnacentral:rRNA from 1 species
CCUACGGGAGGCAGCAGUGGGGGAUAUUGCACAAUGGGGGAAACCCUGAUGCAGCGACGCCGCGUGGGUGAAGAAGCGCCUCGGCGCGUAAAGCCCUGUCAGCAGGGAAGAACAUGACGGUACCUGAAGAAGAAGCCCCGGCUAACUACGUGCCAGCAGCCGCGGUAAUACGUAGGGGGCAAGCGUUAUCCGGAUUUACUGGGUGUAAAGGGGGCGCAGACGGCGAUGCAAGCCAGGAGUGAAAGCCCGGGGCCCAACCCCUGGACUGCUCUUGGAACUGCGUGGCUAGAGUGCAGGAGGGGCAGGCGGAAUUCCUGGUGUAGCGGUGAAAUGCGUAGAUAUCAGGAGGAACACCGGUGGCGAAGGCGGCCUGCUGGACUGCAACUGACGUUGAGGCCCGAAAGCGUGGGGAGCAAACAGGAGUAGAUACCCCAGUAGUC